GACAGAGGGUGCAAACGUUGUUCGGAAUUACUGGGCGUAAAGCGCGUGUAGGCAGCUCGGAAAGUCGGAUGUGAAAGCCCUGGGCUCAACCUAGGAAGUGCAUUCGAAACUUCCGAGCUGGAGUGCUGGAGAGGAAGGCGGAAUUCUCGGUGUAGAGGUGAAAUUCGUAGAUAUCAGGAGGAACACCGGUGGCGAAGGCGGGAUCCUGGGCCAGUACUGACGCUGAGGCGCGAAAGCGUGGGGAGCAAACAGG
rnacentral:rRNA from 1 species